GGGCUCGGCACAGAGGACCGAAGAAUCUGACUCUGAGCGGCCGAGGGGCCGUGCUCCUUUGCAGAGGGGCGAAGCUGCACAGCCACAAGCGGUUGGAGAAAAGGCGAGAGACUCGUUAAGCGGUCCGCUCCGGCUCAAAUUUCCGAGGAGCUCACGGUAACUCGGCCGAGCGUUUGUCUUUGGUUUUGCCGGUGCUGUGAAGGCUUUCCUCAAACGGCUGAGGAUUUGAGGCGAGUCGGCGGAGGAGAGAGGAGCGGCAGGGCGGGAACCGCAGAGCGGGUUAUCGCUUCCGAUUACGACGGGCGCUUUAUCUCUCCGGUUUUCCGGCUUCCACGGGAGAUGCUGGCCGCAACAACUGAUUUUUUGGGAGCGGCGUGGCACUUGCGGGGAGGGUGUCGUCGCGGUAGAGGUCGGCGCCGGCCGGCGUGUCGGUGACCGGCGGCGCUCUGUGUUGCGGGUGAUGAAGAGGAAUCCGGUGAAUGCGGGAGCAUCCCGGUUAGACGAUGUGCUCCUGAUGAGGAUGGAUUCUGGAUCCCGUCCUCUGAAAGGUCUCUAUGUUCUGGCCCACGGCCUCUGCACUCGUCACGCACCUCGGUAGGCGUCUGUAGGGUCUCUAAUGCCUCGUCGGUUUGGCAUAGGGCCUGUCGAGCGCUUCGGGUCUCGUGAAGGGAGCCUCGAGGGCGUUUUGCAUCAUGGAUGUUGCCGGACGGUCGCCUUUGCGGAGGCGAUCCGGGCCGGAACGACAGCUCUGCUCUUUGAAAGUUGUGUUUCUGUGGAGAUCCCCUACAGCAUUUCAUCCCUGCGUCCUUACGGGCUUAGGUCUUAAAGCCUGACUUGUCACACAUCCGUUGUUCUGGGUUUGUAUUGCAUUGCAACGCUCUACCGGUUUUGACUGCCAUCUGAGACCGCCUCGCUUUUGCAGCGCUUUGUGUCGUAUUGCAUUGUAUCGCUCCGUCUUUGGUUUUGUAUCGCAUUGCUCUGUACUUGUAUCAGCUGAGACCUGAGACUGCCUUGCAUUGUACAACCCCGUAUCGUGUUUUGUCUCAUUGCAGCGCUCUGUAUUUGUAUCGACUGCCGUCUGGGACCAUCUUGUGUUGUGUUGCUCUGUAUUUGAAUUUGUACCGCAUUGUUUGGCUCUGUAUCGGUUUUGUAUUGUAUUGCUCUGUAUUUGAAAUUGUACUGCCAUUUGAGACUGUCUUGCAUGGUAUGGCCCUGUAUAGCAUCUUGUCUCACGUUGCAGCGCUCCAUAUUUGUAUCGACCGCCGUUUGAGACCGUCUUGCAUUGUAUCGCUCUGUAUUUGGUUUUGUAUUGCAUUGUA